UCUCAGUGAUGUGCUUCCAAUAGAUCUUUCUGAUCCUGCACUGUGGACUCAAUAUAUUGGCUGUGGGUUUGCUGUAGA